GGGCAGAGCAGUGACUGAGCACUGGACUUUUCCAGGCUCUGUGCCUUUGCCAGCUCAUUCUGUAAUGCUGCAGAAAGUCAUUUAAAUGUCUCCAGUAUGUAAGUUUACCCAACUGUAAAAUUGGGUGUAAUAAGACUUGCUUACUUUACAGCUAAGGUUUAAUUCCAUUUUGUUUGCUGUGCGGUGCCAGACCCCAUCCAGCAGGUGUAAUGGGCGAGGUGCUCUACACGGGCAGCAGGGAGGGCUGUCCAUUAGCAAAAAGGUUGUCGUAAGAAAAGCCCUGGAACGGAAUACAGAAAGCAAACGGCAGCAGACAGAACCAGAUAAUUAUCGCUCCCCUAUCACGUAACCCUCCAGGGAACGAGGUGAAGGGGCUCGUGGGGAGCGCCUGUAGCAGAGGGACGAGCACUGCUGCCAGCCUGCAGCGAGCUUUGCAGGCUGGGUCCUGGGGAAGCCUCGCGCGCCCAGCGCCUUGCCCUGUGCACUUCUGCAGGCACACGCGGUGGGGCGAAGCCGAAACCGAGCAGCAGGCUGGGAAACCCUGCUGCUGCACGCUCGCCUAGACCCCGAGAAAUGCCAGUAAGAGCGACACGCUUGUUUUAGCUCAGCUGCCCUCAGGCCGCUUUGUUAUGCUGAACAGCCCCGUUGCGCAGAGCGUGUAUUUUGUUUUAAGUGCACACAUUUAUCACCUUCACCGGUGAUUUAUAAUAUGAAGCAGAUUCGAAGAAUAUGGGACGUGGUUUCUCCUGCCUGAAAGCUUUCUGUUUGUGUUACUUUUUUCAGUGCUUUCACACGGCGGUGCGAGUCCCUGCCUAUCUGGGGGAGAGGUGCUCCAUCAGAGGUUGCCAACCUUUAUUAAACUCCUCUGUGUUGUGCUUGUGGCUGGAGGGCAGCCGGGCCAGGCCCCGUCUUGGUCUGCGCGUGGAAAAAGUCACUGCCUGGAGGUGCUGAGAGCCCGAAAAUGGGAGCAACCGGGUGAUGAGGGAUGCAUGGCCCACAUACAGCUCAGAUUUGAUGCUGCUCUCGCCGCAGCACUGUGCAGCGUUGGGCUGGGGCCAGCACCACACCGGCCACCGACCAGCGGGGGUCUGUGGGGACCGGCAGUGCCCGUGGGCAGGGUGUCAGAGGCAAGACCCAAACUUUUAUGCACUCUUUCUAAGUGCUAAUGAACCUCGUAAGCAGCGGCUCACCGAAGGAUAUCAAGUCCCAGCUGUUCUCCCCAGGGAAGACAACCUGGCAGAAAUUGCACACUAUUUGCUGAAAGAAUCUCUAGUUUCUGGAGUCGGUUCAGAUAUACGGGAGAUGGUUAAAUCCGUGCUUGCAGAGGGAUCGCUACCCUAAGGGGGGCUAGGCUCCUUCCAACACAGCUGUGCUUUCCUUAUAAAAAUAUUUUUUUCCUUUUUUUUUUCUGGUAUUAUUUUCUCCUUCAAACCCUCAUGAUACCUGGUCACUGGUAUGAUUUUUGAUUUCCAGGUGAGAAACAGAAGGGAACAAUUUUAUCCAGAGCACCCACCAGAGAGGUGCUCUGUGUGAAUCGUUUGUGAGCCUUUACGAGGGCAGGGUCAGAUUUCCAGCAGUGAGAUCAGAGAACCUCAGGUGCGUGGCUGGAGAAAUUCAGUUUUUUUUCUAUUUCUUGAUUUACUAGUGCUGACAUAAACACCAUAGCUGACAUUUUUGAAGUGAUCAUAGAGAGCCCUUGGAGCUGAGCGAAGCUGAAGGGCAAGGACAACAUCUGCAUUCACCUCCUACCAGGAGAGGAUGGCAAGUCCUAGGACAACGGCAAAAACAAAGCUGGAGGGACAGGGGUGAAACUUAUGUGCAAAAAAAAAAUAAAUUCUAUUUUGAACUUUAUUGCUGAAAUGAU
ensembl:lncRNA